rnacentral:rRNA from 1 species
UACAGAGGUGGCAAGCGUUGUUCGGAAUUACUGGGCGUAAAGGGCGCGUAGGCGGUCUUGUAAGUCUUGUGUGAAAUCCCUCGGCUUAACUGAGGAACUGCACGGGAUACUGCGAGACUUGAGAUCGGUAGAGGGAAGCGGAAUUCCGCGUGUAGCAGUGAAAUGCGUAGAGAUGCGGAGGAACACCGAUGGCGAAGGCAGCCCCCUGGGCUAACACUGACGCUCAGGCACGAAAGCGUGGGGAGCAAACAGG